rnacentral:ncRNA from 1 species
UUUGCCUCAAGGCAAACCUCGGGAAACUGGGGGACGCAAAGCUAGAGGGGCUUCGAAAGACUGCCAGCCAGCUGCCAAA